CAGCCGCCACGGUAAUACGAAGGGGGCUAGCGUUGUUCGGAAUCACUGGGCGUAAAGGGUGCGUAGGCGGGUCUUUAAGUCAGGGGUGAAAUCCUGGAGCUCAACUCCAGAACUGCCUUUGAUACUGAAGAUCUUGAGUUCGGGAGAGGUGAGUGGAACUGCGAGUGUAGAGGUGAAAUUCGUAGAUAUUCGCAAGAACACCAGUGGCGAAGGCGGCUCACUGGCCCGAUACUGACGCUGAGGCACGAAAGCGUGGGGAGCAAACAGGAUUAGAUACCCCUGUAGUCCCUGUCUCUUAUAC
rnacentral:rRNA from 1 species